rnacentral:rRNA from 1 species
AUUGAACGCUGGCGGCAGGCUUAACACAUGCAAGUCGAACGAGUGGCGGACGGGUGAGUAAUGUCUGGGAAUCUUGCUUAUGGAGGGGGAUAACUACUGGAAACUGUAGCUAAUACCGCGUACCAUAGGCUGUGCCCAGGUUGGAUUAGGUAGUUGGUGGGGUAACGGCUCACCGAGGCGACGAUCCCUAGCUGGUCUGAGAGGAUGACCCGCCAAACUGGAAAUGGGAAACGGUCCAGAACUCUACGGGAGGCAGCAGUGGGGAAGUGUGGACAAGGGGCGGAAGCCUGAAGCAGCCAAGCCGAGGGUGUGAAGAAGGCCUUCGGGGUGUAAAGGACUUUCAGCUAGGAAGAGGUAAGCUCAGAAGAAGCACCGGCUAACUGCGGUCCAGCAGACGCGGUAAUUA